CUACGGGUGGCAGCAGUGAGGAAUAUUGCACAAUGGGGGGAACCCUGAUGCAGCAACGCCGCGUGGAGGAUGACGCAUUUCGGUGUGUAAACUCCUUUUAUGAGUCAAGAAAAUGACGGUAGCUCAUGAAUAAGCGCCGGCUAACUCCGUGCCAGCAGCCGCGGUAAUACGGAGGGCGCAAGCGUUACUCGGAAUCACUGGGCGUAAAGGACGCGUAGGCGGGAUAUCAAGUCAGGUGUGAAAUCCUACAGCUUAACUGUAGAACUGCACUUGAAACUGGUAACCUAGAGUAUGGGAGGGGCAGAUGGAAUUAGUGGUGUAGGGGUAAAAUCCGUAGAUAUCACUAGGAAUACCUAAAGCGAAGGCGAUCUGCUGGAACAUAACUGACGCUAAGGCGUGAAAGCGUGGGGAGCAAACGGGAUUAGAUACCCUGGUAGUC
rnacentral:rRNA from 1 species